CUCAUAACUUAUUUAGUCUGGUUUCAAUCUUCUUUACUUUAUUGGACAUUGCUUGACUGUUAGCCUAAACCAACACGCCCAGUCAAAGAACUGAGAGAGUGGAAAAAUGAGGUUGAUCACACGUCUAAAUCAAAGACCACUGUCUUAAGAAGUGACCAGUCAGGAAGCAUGUGAUCAGUUUGCACGUCUCUCAUUGGUGGGCUGUCUGAACACGUCUAACCGCUAUGCUGAGACGGAAUCGACAACAGAAAGGUUCCAUUGACGUGGACCAAUCAGAUCUCAGGCACAGACAUCCGCUUCAAAGACUCUCACCAUUGUCAGCCCCCAGCUUCAGUCUCUGAGAUGGAGAGAUCAAGAGCUGUGCUCCUCACUCUAAUGUGUGUUUUGAUCUCCAGCAUCUCUGGAAUAGUUGUGGAGAUGAGAGUCAAACCAGGAGACGAUGUCACCAUCUACUGUGACUGUGCUCGACAGAGUGGAUUUAAAAUAGUAUGGGUGAUAAAACCCUCAGACGAGCAUCAACCUCCUCUCUUUCAUUUAACUGAGGACUCGACACUUCCACAUUACUCUCAUGUUUGGAACAAGUCCAAGUUGACAUAGGAUCUGCUGGUGAAGAACAUCACUGGAUCAGAACUUGGCUUGUACUACUGCGCUCUACAUGAGACCAAGUUUUCUAGAAAUGAGAUGGGAGAAAGAGUAAAAGAGGAUCUUUAUCUUGAUGGGAACAGAACCACUUUCCUCUCUUUCCAGGACACAACGGUUCCUUGUGCCAAUCUCUCCGAAACCCCCUCCACCCCUCCUGUAUCAGACUGUAGUGUCUGCUGGAAGCUGCUGGUCAGUGUGUGUCCUGUGUGUGUUCUCCUCUCCUCAGUGGUCUCCUCCAUCUGUGUGUACUGCAUCUGCACCACCAGAACUAAAGCUGAUCAUGAAGCAGACCAGCAAAGGAAUAUCAGCAUGAGAAAACAUGAUGAGGUAUGAGAC